GAUAACGCAGGUGUCCUAA
rnacentral:snRNA from 1 species